ACGGGUGAGUAACACGUAUCCAACCUGCCGUCUACUCUUGGCCAGCCUUCUGAAAGGAAGAUUGAUCCAGGAUGGCAUCAUGAGUUCACAUGUCCGCAUGAUUAAAGGUAUUUUCCGGUAGACGAUGGGGAUGCGUUCCAUUAGAUAGUAGGCGGGGUAACGGCCCACCUAGUCAACGAUGGAUAGGGGUUCUGAGAGGAAGGUCCCCCACAUUGGAACUGAGACACGGUCCAA
rnacentral:rRNA from 1 species